GGAGCAGGAGGCGCGAUGGCCGAGGGCAGCGCUGUGUCCGACCCUCAGCACGCCGCGCGCCUGCUGCGGGCGCUCAGUUCGUUCCGGGAGGAGGCGCGCUUCUGCGACGCACACCUGGUCCUCGACGGCGAGGAGAUCCCGGUGCAGAAGAACAUCCUGGCGGCGGCCAGCCCGUACAUCAGGACAAAGUUAAACUAUAAUCCUCCCAAAGAUGACGGCUCCACUUACAAGAUUGAACUUGAAGGGAUAUCGGUAAUGGUUAUGAGAGAGAUCCUGGAUUACAUCUUCAGUGGGCAGAUCAGGCUAAAUGAAGAUACAAUCCAGGAUGUUGUACAGGCCGCCGACCUGCUGCUGCUGACGGACCUUAAAGCCUUGUGCUGUGAGUUUCUGGAGGGCUGCAUUGCCGCGGAGAACUGCAUCGGCAUCCGUGACUUCGCACUGCACUAUUGCCUGCACCACGUGCAUUACCUGGCCACGGAGUACCUGGAGACUCACUUCCGAGAUGUCAGCAACACGGAGGAGUUCCUGGAGCUGAGUCCACAGAAGCUCAAAGAAGUGAUCUCUCUCGAGAAACUGAAUGUUGGCAAUGAAAAAUACGUGUUUGAGGCGGUGAUUCGGUGGAUAGCACAUGACACAGAGAUGAGAAAGGUUCACAUGAAGGAUGUCAUGUCAGCGCUGUGGGUCUCAGGGUUGGACUCUGGCUACCUGCGGGAGCAGAUGCUGAAUGAGCCCUUGGUACGAGAAAUCGUCAAGGAGUGCAGCAACAUCCCGCUCAGCCAGCCGCAGCAGGGGGAGGCCAUGCUGGCCAGCUUCAAGCCAAGGGGCUACUCAGAGUGCAUAGUGACCAUUGGCGGCGAGGAAAGAGUUUCACGGAAACCCACGGCCGCCAUGCGAUGUAUGUGCCCUCUCUACGACCCUAAUCGGCAGCUGUGGAUCGAACUGGCCCCUCUGAGCAUGCCCAGAAUUAACCAUGGCGUUCUCUCGGCAGAAGGAUUUUUGUUUGUGUUGGGGGGCCAAGAUGAAAAUAAGCAGACACUGAGCUCGGGAGAGAAGUACGACCCAGAUGCCAACACAUGGACUCCUCUCCCACCCAUGAAUGAGGCAAGACACAACUUUGGGAUCGUGGAGAUAGACGGGAUGCUGUACAUCCUCGGAGGGGAGGACGGCGACCGGGAGUUGAUUUCCAUGGAGUGUUACGAUAUUUAUUCAAAAACCUGGACAAAGCAGCCUGACUUGACCAUGGUUAGAAAGAUUGGCUGCUAUGCAGCUAUGAAAAAGAAAAUCUAUGCCAUGGGUGGAGGAUCAUAUGGAAAACUGUUUGAGUCUGUGGAGUGUUACGAUCCACGGACCCAGCAGUGGACUGCCAUAUGUCCACUGAAAGAGAGGAGGUUUGGAGCAGUGGCCUGCGGUGUUGCCAUGGAGCUGUAUGUAUUCGGAGGCGUCAGAAGUCGAGAGGACAUCCAGGGCAGUGAGAUGGUCACCUGCAAGUCUGAGUUCUAUCACGACGAGUUUAAGAGGUGGAUCUACCUUAACGAUCAGAACCUAUGCAUUCCUGCCAGUUCAUCCUUUGUGUACGGCGCUGUCCCCAUAGGAGCCAGUAUUUAUGUUAUCGGAGACCUUGACACAGGCACCAACUAUGACUACGUGCGUGAGUUUAAGAGAAGCACGGGCACCUGGCACCACACGAAGCCACUCCUGCCGUCCGACCUUCGGCGCACAGGCUGCGCAGCUUUGCGCAUCGCCAACUGCAAGCUCUUCCGUCUGCAGCUGCAGCAAGGCUUGUUCCGCAUCCGGGUCCAUUCCCCUUGAAGAGGAAGAGGAGCCAAAAGCGAGAUCCUGCCCCAAGCGCAUCAUGUGGCUGGUCGUCAGCAAGCGCAGAGAAGCAGCUCCAUCUUGCUGUGUGCUGGGCAUCAGUAUGGUUACUCUUUGGUGGUUUUUUAAUGCUUAGAAACUUGGGCUUUUGCUCUUGUUUGGAGACCAUGUAACUGUUGAAAAACUACCCGGGAGGAAUCAGUUCCUCCAGCCCGAUGCGUCUGUAAACCGUGGAGGCUAGUGAAUGUCAAAAGGAGGGAGUGGGGGGUUGGUGUCAUGUGAAAUAUCAGAGUUAAAGCCCUAAGGUGCGUAUUUCCGAAAGGGAACUCUUACCUAACUGACUGUGUCCCAGUGCGUGUGGCUGUGGUAGACAAACAGCAGAACCCAUAUAUGCAAGCCAACAUACCCAGCACACAGGCUGUCCUUGUAUGGUGUGGAGGGGUAGAAUGCCUAGCCACACUCAGUAAACUGAGGUUUGUGCCAGGUAGUUCCCAUUUAUUACUAGUGCUCUGUCUUAAGAUUCUUUAAGAACUAUAUUCUGAUUAACUGAGACUAAGAUAAAACUCCUCUCGGACAACAAUCUUUCUUAGUGAAGAUUCAGUUGCCCAAAGAGCUCAAGUCCGCAGCCCCGAAUGAGCUUAAAGGAAUCUCUCGCUAUAAAAGACCCCGCAUUCUGAGAGAGUUCUGGGGCCGCUGUGAGCUUGGGAGGGAGCGUGUACCAUUCUUUCUUUCUACCUGGAAAAGCAAACUCCAGGCUGGUAAUGCAGAGGAGACUUCAGAGUCGAGCAAAUGACAGAGGUCGCUGCAACUAAAAAUAAAUGAAAUACUAAAAACACAAAGCUGUCCAGGUGAUGUCCAUAGGAAUCAAACCUUCUACCCUGUCGGAAAGCACACGAAGUCCUGUUUACUGCUGCUUAGACGUUACAAACUUAUCUUCGAAUGCAGGCCAGAUGUGCCACACAUCCACGCCAUCCCAUCCAGUCAGAUUUACUGUCAGUCAGUGGAUUGUGCCGCAUAUCAGCCAUGCUGCUUUCCAUCGAGGAAGCCAUGGCAGAAAGAGCACUUUCUACUCUUCCUGAGAUGGAGGCUUCAGAGGAGAGAAAUUGCCAGAAGGGCGAGUUGACUUUGGUGAAAUACCUGCACAGGACAGAGCCAUGGCCUGCCAGAGCAGAGAGAAAGCGGUGCACGACAGCUGUGGUAACUGCUCUGUUUUGGUUUUUGUUGUGUUGUGUUGUUUGUUUGUUUAAACUCCUGAAGUUUAAAAUUCUCAGUGUGCUUCAGGCCUCUCCAAGGAGACAGUUCCUUGUUUAGAGUCAUGGGUCCAAUGGUGAUGUCACUAGUGCCUGUUGACUUGGUCAGUUCACUUAAAAAAACAAGCAAACAAACAAACAGGUUUUUCAAUUCAGUUCAUUGACACUAUGGCUGCAGAAAUUACUGUUUUAUAAAAUAAAUUUGCAACUUAAUAUGGGAUGCAAUAACAAAAGCUGCUAAGUGCCAAACUGUUAUUUUUAGGUGUGUGUGUGUGUGUGUGUGUGUGUGUGAGAGAGAGAGACAGAGAGAGAGAGAGAGAGAGAGAGAGAGAGAGAGAGAGAGAGAGAGACUAUCCUGUUGAAAAGCAGGGCUGUAUUUAAUUUUACUAUGAUGUUUCAAAGUCAACCGUACCUCUUGGUAACCACUCUCCUUUAGUGUCGAGCAGUAGCUUGUAGCCCCUGUCGUGCAAGUUGUGUCUCACUACUGCACCUGUGUCUUGGUCAGGUCUGCAUGAGUGGUCCUUCCCGUCUUGGUGAGGCACUUUGACCGGGUAGAUGUUGCAUUUGGCAACGGAGGCUAGAUCUUAAAAUCUGAAACACAAACAUCUUGGGGGAAGUUUCUUUUCACUGGACGGUCUUGGGCUACAGUCGUGUAAUCCAGACACCCUCCUAGGCUAGAGUCUAAAGUAUGUUUGUUUAUUUCUCUAACAUAUCUAAACAUAGAUUUUUCAAAGAUUUAAGUGCUUAAUUUAAAAUGAAGUGUUUUUUAUGUGAAGAGUGUUUAUGUUCUGUGCGAUGAGAAAGCGUGAGAUGAGCGAAUGUGCGUGCGUGCUGUGCCACAUGACUUGAUGCGUCUGUCUGUAUAUGUUUACUUUUGAAUCGUAGUCACGAGCUAUCUAUGCUACCGUCUCCUGGUGCUUCAGAUAAACCUUGAGUCUGUCGACCUUCAGUUACGCGGCUGUGUCAAACACGUGCCGUGUGUAAAUGCAGAACCUGUUUGUGGACAGUCAAUUUUAUUAGCUUUGAAUCUUUUCCUUAGCAGGAGCGAAAACGUGGAUUUACCAGCUAGCAGUUGGUCCUAGGAAGGGCUGGUCUAAGGGGCCGAGUGUGCUAUGUGGUUGCUCUGAGGAGUCAUGGCUCUGGUUGGGCUUUCCAACCAAAAGCCUGUGGGGGCUGUGUCUGAGUCUUGUUUGUGCUGAAGCGAGUGUUCUGUUACAUCUCACGGCUGCUGAGGCUACUCUGUUCUGCGGUGGCUUGGCAGUGUCACCAUACCCUUUAUAAGUGGGGAGAAGCCACCCCUCAGAGGUGUCUCGGAAACACGGUCUCUUCAUGGAAGUGGUGAAGGAAGGGCUGUCCUUGCCAUGGUGCCUCAGAUUCUUACAGGACGCCAGGGAUCCCAGAAGUCCUCCAAGGAAUAUGACUGGCACCACAGUGCUCUUAUAGUGGGGAGGCUUUCCUGGUUACACAGUCCUCCUGUGGUCGGAUGCUCUGGAAAGCGGUGAGGUGACUUUUACCAUGUGCGCUUAGAGGCUUGAGAACUACCUGAGAAAUGCCACUGAUAAGAGUAGAGCAAGGCUUCCUUCUUGCCAUCACUUCCCCUUAGCCAAAAGAGCAUCUAGAAAGCCAGGGAUUGGAGAGGCGUGAUGGCGCCUGCCCUGAGCCUCCCAAGAAUUGUGCUUGCGUUUCUGGGAACCUUACAAAGGAGGCAGAGGGGACACAGCCCUCCCUCUCUGUCUUGCAAAUUCGCUGGAGCUUGAGCAAGAACCCUACCUGUGUGAAUUGGUCCGGGGUUUGCAAGUAGGCAUUGAGUCACAGCACCCUGGCCUUCAAUGGGAUGCUUUUCCCUAAGCAGAGAAAGCGCUCUUCAGUUCUGCUGGGCUUUAAGUGAGAAGCUGUGUACACAGGUGGGCUGGCCUCCUGUGGAAACUCCAAGUGCCUCGUGCACUGCUCGCACGUGCCUGCGUCCCCAAGUGCUUCCGCAGGACGGUGCACCUGUGCCCAGCACGCCUCAUAAUGCUCAUCAUGUGAAUGUCAGGUUGAUUGGCUGCAUCUGACAUGGGUUUAAAAUCUUCUCCAUGUCUGAGGUGGGUAGGGGUGAACAUUCAAGUGUGCGCAGAAGCCAGGCCCUGGGGUUACCAAGGGUAAUCCAGCCAACUCAGCAAGAGCUUGAGCUUCCUUGGCAUGCAGGUGUUUCUACUCCUAAGAUGAACAUCAUUUGUAGUAUGGGCUCAGCCCCCAGACCAACAUUCUGGCUGGAGAAACUGGAAAACCUUUUCCUCUCCCUGUCAGUUGGCUGUUGAAAGACUCGCUCGUUCCUGAGUGUCUUCUGGAAACAAGGCCCAGUUUAUUCAUAAAGACUAAAGCUAACAUUUCAUUGAUUGUCCCCACUCAGUCAGGGAGGGAGGGACUGCUUUGGCAAGCGGAGGGGUCUUUCUGCCUUCUGAGUAAUCCCCAAAGGCUCCUUCUAGCUCAUUUUGAUGUGCACAUACAGUUCUGGGGUAGGGACGAGAGUGAGUCCAUUGACUCAGACGGUGGGUGUCUCCCUCUCGCUGCCAGUGAAGUCUGGGUGGAGUUGAAGAGUGUAGGCUCUUCCACGUAUUCUGCAGCUAUGAGCGGCUCUGCCUCCUGCCUGGUGAACUCACUCCCUUAGACCCUGGUGCUGAAUUUCUUCAAGCUGCACCAGGGAAGUCUCCAUAGCUUACUUUAUGGCAUUUCCUGUUGAAUUGGAUGGGAAUACUUGCAAUCAUUCCCAUUCUUUGUGUUUCUGGGGAAAAACAAACCUCUUGUCUGCUACCUCAUGGUGUGGCAUUGGAUUUGUUCUGUCCUGUAACAAGCGCCUGGAAGCAAGCAGUGAGCAGCCUUGAGGAGGUCAGUCCUCUCAGGCGUAGUUUCCAUUUUCGUACUUUUUAAAUAGGCACUUUAAACCUGGAGGAGUGGGAAUUCUUCUGGGGCUUCUGCGAGGGGACGACUUGAAACUCAACUUGAACUUGAGUCAUUUAAAGGCGAUGUUUUCUUGUAGCAGAGAAGCGGCAUGGUCGCACAGCGGCGCUGUGGCGUUUCUGUCCUUGUUAGGAUCAGAGGAGAGCGCGCGUCUGCGAUUUGACACGGUGUUUGGAGCUUAGAUGCUUGAGGCUGCUGUGAUGUUUCUUGCAGGGUGCUGCCGAUUCCGCCUUUUGCUGGCUCCUCACUACAUUCUCUUCUUCCUUCAGUCCUGGGAGCACCAGAUGUCAGAAUGAAACAGAUGUUUUCCAGGUUCACGGUCAGGGUUGACCCAACUACCUUGAAUCAUGUUUUCCUUAAAACUAUGACUCAUCUGUCACACUCGUAGGGGACUCUCCUGCACUUCACCCUGCACGUCCCUUCUCCACACCCAGUAACAGGCUCUCACUUGUCCCAGCCUCUGUUCUCUCCUGGUCCCCAGGUCAGAAUGACGUCACUGGGGGAGCUCAGCAAUUGGAGACAGUCUUCCAGGAUUCAUUCUUAUAGGAAUGGCCACUUCUCAGGCCACAGUUGGACCUGGCCUACUAAAUAGAAGACCUGGGUAGUCAACAGAGCCCAGCCCUCUCCUCAGCUCUCUGUUCUCCUGAGUGCUCCCCUCAGAGCUCUCUCCCUGGCCUCCAACCCUCCCUUCAGAGCCCGGUACAUUUUUAAACCUCAUGCAAGUGUAGUGCCCUAAGCCUUUAAUCCCAGCACUUGGGAGGCAGAGGCAGGUAGAUCUCUGAGAAUUUGAGAACAGCCUGCUCUACAUAACAAGCGCCAGAACAGUUAGGACUACAUAGAAAAAUCCUGUCUCAAAAAAAAAAUAUAUAUAUAUAUAUAUGGUCAGUCACCCUCUUGAGAGCUUGCCUAAUCGAGUCCUCUAAGAUUCCUUAAAAUCCUUUACUAAGGUGGAAUUUACUUUUCACCAGAAUAUCAAAUUUAUCAUCUAGAUUGACCAAAUAAACUGGGUAUUUUCUACAUCUCUGAUUGCAGUCUCAAACCUAAGCUUCAGCCAGGCGGUGGUUGCGCACACCUUUAAUUCCAGCACUCUGGAGGCAGAGGCAGGCGGAUCUCUGAGUUCAAGGCCAGCCUGGUCUACAAGAGCU